GGCACCAUAGCCAAGCGGUAAGGCAGGGGCCUGCAAAGCCCUAACCCCCGGUUCAAAUCCGGGUGGUGCCUCCA
rnacentral:tRNA from 2 species